UGCUGGGGAACUUUUUCCCCUUUUUGAGGGUAGGGGAAAGGGAAUGCCCAAUCCAGAGAGACAUGGGGGCAAGAAGGACGGGAGUGGAGGAGCUUCUGGAACUUUGCAGCCGUCAUCGGGAGGUGGCAGCUCCAACAGCAGAGAGCGUCACCGCUUGGUGUCGAAGCACAAGCGGCAUAAAUCCAAGCACUCCAAAGACAUGGGGUUGGUGACCCCCGAAGCAGCACCUUUGGGUACAAUUAUCAAACCUCUGGUGGAGUAUGAUGACAUCAGCUCUGAUUCAGAUACCUUCUCUGACGACAUGGCCUUCAAACUAGACAGGAGGGAGAAUGAUGAACGUCGUGGGACUGAUAGGAGUGACCGUCUGCACAAACAUCGUCACCACCAGCACAGACGUUCCCGGGACUUACUAAAAACUAAACAAACAGAAAAAGAGAAAAACCAGGAAGUCUCCAGCAAAUCGGGAUCGAUGAAGGACCGGAUAUCAGGAAGUUCAAAGCGUUCAAAUGAGGAGAAUGAGGACUAUGGGAAGGCACAGAUAUCCAAAAGCAGCAGCAACAAGGAAUCCAGGUCAUCCAAACUUCAUAAGGAGAAGACACGGAAAGAACGUGAGUUGAAGUCUGGGCACAAAGACCGGAGUAAAAGUCAUCGGAAGAGGGAAACACCCAAAAGCUACAAAACAGUAGACAGCCCCAAACGGAGAUCCAGGAGUCCCCAUAGAAAAUGGUCUGACAGCCCCAAGCAAGAUGAUAGCCCCUCGGGAGCUUCCUAUGGCCAAGAUUAUGACCUUAGUCCCCCAAGAUCUCACACCUCUAGCAAUUAUGACUCCUACAAGAAAAGUCCUGGAAGUACCUCAAGAAGGCAGUCAAUUAGCCCUCCUUACAAGGAGCCUUCGGCCUACCAGUCAAGCACCCGGUCACCCAGUCCCUACAGUAGACGACAAAGGUCUGUGAGUCCCUAUAGUCGGAGACGUUCUUCCAGCUAUGAAAGGAGUGGCUCUUACAGUGGGAGAUCACCUAGUCCCUAUGGUCGAAGACGGUCUAGCAGCCCUUUCAUGAGCAAACGGUCUCUGAGUCGGAGUCCACUCCCCAGGAAAUCCAUGAAGUCUAGAAGUAGAAGUCCCGCAUAUUCAAGACACUCAUCUUCUCAUAGUAAAAAGAAGAGAUCCGGGUCACGCAGUCGACAUUCCAGCAUCUCACCUGUCAGGCUUCCAUUGAACUCCAGCUUGGGAGCUGAACUCAGUAGGAAAAAGAAGGAAAGAGCAGCUGCUGCUGCAGCAGCAAAAAUGGAUGGAAAGGAAUCCAAGGGUUCACCUAUAUUUUUGCCUAGAAAAGAGAACAGUUUAGUAGAGGCUAAAGAUUCAGGCUUGGAGUCUAAAAAGUUAACCAGAGGUGUAAAAUUGGAAAAAUCUGCCCCAGAUACUGAACUGGUGAAUGUACCACAUCUAAAUACAGAAGUCAAAAAUUCUUUAGAUACAGGGAAAGUAAAGUUGGAUGAGAACUCUGAGAAGCAUCCUAUUAAAGAUUUGAAAGCACAGGGAUCAAGAGACUCUAAACCCAUAGUAUUGAAAGAGGAAAUUGUUACUCCAAAAGAGACAGAGACAUCAGAAAAGGAGACCCCUCCACCCGUCCCCACAGUUACUUCUCCUGCACCUCCUUUACCAACAACUACCCCUCCACCUCAGACACCCCCUUUGCCACCUUUGCCUCCACUACCAGCUAUUCCACAGCAACCACCUCUGCCUCCUCCCCAACCAGCAUUUAGUCAGGUUCUUACUUCUAGUACUUCAACUUUGCCCCCUUCUACUCACCCAAGGACAUCUACCUUGUCCUCUCAGGCAAAUUCUCAGCCCCUUGCACAGGUUUCUGUGAAGACUCAAGUGUCUGUAACAGCUGCUAUUCCACACCUAAAAACUUCAACGUUGCCUCCUCUGCCCCUCCCACCCUUAUUACCAGGAGACGAUGACAUGGAUAGUCCAAAAGAAACUCUACCUUCAAAACCUGUAAAGAAAGAGAAGGAACAAAGGCCACGUCACUUACUGACAGACCUCCCCCUCCCUCCAGAACUUCCUGGUGGGGAUCCAUCUCCUCCAGACUCUCCAGAACCAAAGGCAGUUACACCACCUCAGCAACCAUAUAAAAAGAGACCAAAAAUUUGUUGUCCUCGUUAUGGAGAAAGAAGACAAACAGAAAGUGACUGGGGGAAACGCUGUGUAGACAAGUUUGACAUUAUCGGGAUUAUUGGAGAGGGAACCUAUGGCCAAGUAUAUAAAGCCAAGGACAAAGACACAGGAGAGCUAGUGGCUCUGAAGAAGGUGAGACUGGACAAUGAGAAGGAGGGCUUUCCAAUCACAGCCAUUCGUGAGAUCAAAAUCCUUCGUCAGCUAAUCCACCGAAGUGUUGUUAACAUGAAGGAAAUUGUUACAGAUAAACAAGAUGCACUGGAUUUCAAGAAGGACAAAGGUGCCUUUUACCUUGUAUUUGAAUAUAUGGACCAUGACUUAAUGGGACUGCUAGAAUCUGGUUUGGUGCACUUUUCUGAGGACCAUAUCAAGUCGUUCAUGAAACAGCUAAUGGAAGGAUUGGAUUACUGUCACAAAAAGAAUUUCCUGCAUCGGGAUAUUAAGUGUUCUAACAUUUUGCUGAACAACAGUGGGCAAAUCAAACUAGCGGAUUUUGGACUUGCUCGGCUCUAUAACUCUGAAGAGAGUCGCCCUUACACAAACAAAGUCAUCACUCUGUGGUACCGACCUCCAGAACUUCUGCUUGGAGAGGAGCGUUACACACCAGCCAUUGACGUUUGGAGCUGUGGAUGCAUCCUCGGGGAACUGUUCACAAAGAAGCCUAUAUUCCAAGCCAAUCUGGAACUAGCUCAACUAGAACUGAUCAGUCGACUCUGUGGUAGCCCUUGUCCAGCUGUGUGGCCUGAUGUUAUCAAGCUGCCCUACUUCAAUACCAUGAAACCGAAGAAGCAAUAUAGAAGGCGUCUACGAGAAGAAUUCUCUUUCAUUCCCUCAGCAGCACUUGAUUUACUGGACCACAUGCUGACUCUAGAUCCUAGCAAACGUUGCACAGCUGAACAGACUUUACAGAGUGACUUCCUUAAAGAUGUUGAGCUCAGCAAAAUGGAUCCUCCAGACCUCCCCCACUGGCAGGAUUGCCAUGAAUUAUGGAGUAAGAAACGGCGACGACAGCGACAGAGUGGUGUUGUGAUAGAAGAGCCACCUCCAUCCAAAUCCUCUCGGAAAGAAACUACCUCAGGGACAAGUGUUGAGCCUGUGAAGAACAGCAGCCCAGCACCACCUCAGCCUGCUCCUGUCAAGGCGGAGCCUGGGACUGGGGAUGCAAUAGGCCUCGGUGACAUCACACAGCAGUUGAAUCAAAGUGAAUUGGCAGUGUUACUGAAUCUGCUGCAGAGCCAGACCGACCUGAGCAUCCCUCAAAUGGCACAGCUGCUUAACAUCCACUCCAACCCAGAGAUGCAGCAGCAGCUGGAGGCCCUGAACCAAUCCAUCAGUGCCCUAACUGAAGCCACUUCCCAGCAGCAGGACUCAGAGCCCAUGGCCCCAGAGGAGUCUUUGAAGGAGGCACCUCCUGCCCUAGUGGUCCAGCCUUCAGCAGAACAGACAACCUCUGAAGCUUCAAGCACACCAGCUGACAUGCAGAAUAUGCUGGCAGUUCUUUUGAGUCAGCUGAUGAAAACCCAGGAGCCAGCAGGCAGCCUGGAGGAAAACAACAGUGACAAGAACAGUGGGCCACAGGGGCCCCGAAGAACUCCCACAAUGCCACAGGAGGAGGCAGCAGCAUGUCCUCCUCACAUUCUUCCACCAGAGAAGAGGCCCCCUGAGCCCCCCGGACCUCCACCGCCGCCACCUCCACCCCCUCUGGUUGAAGGCGAUCUUUCCAGCGCCCCCCAGGAGUUGAACCCAGCCGUGACAGCCGCCUUGCUGCAACUUUUAUCCCAGCCUGAAGCAGAGCCUCCUGGCCACCUGCCACAUGAGCACCAGGCCUUGAGACCAAUGGAAUACUCCACCCGACCCCAUCCCAACAGGACUUACGGAAACACUGAUGGGCCUGAAACAGGGUUCAGUGCCACUGACACUGAUGAACGCAACUCUGGUCCAGCUUUGACAGAAUCCUUGACCCAGACCCUGGUGAAGAACAGGACCUUCUCAGGCUCUGUGAGCCACCUUGGGGAGUCCAGCAGUUACCAGGGCACAGGGUGGCAGCAGCAGAAGAAAGGAUAGCCUUUGAGGAAUUUGGUGAAGUCCAUCAGUCACCUGGCAUCUGGAGCCCUGAAAAGUUCAGUCUUUCAUUGACUUUAAAGCCAGAGUUGAUGGAACCCUUUCUCACCUGUCCAGACAUUGGGCAAGAUACCAGAAGUAGAGGCCCACAAGCCUGCUUCCCUCUAUCCUCAUUGCCCAGAACCAGGCAGGUCAUGGGCUUCCAGUGCCCACCCCCACCCUUCUUGCUGCCAGGUAGGCUCUUCUCUCUACCCACCAACCCCAAACAGGGUCAUAUUUCUCUCUGGAAGUAUUUCUCUCUGUUAUUUAAUAUCUCCAACAAGGGGAAGCCUUAAUGACUCAGCUCUCUGCCUGCAACUUCCAGUUUUAAUCUUUAGCAGGACCUUGCUGAUAUUAAAUAUCCACCCCUUUUCUAUAGUUCAGAACCAUUUUCCUCUUUUGGUAGAUGAGGAAAUAGGGAUCAGUAAACAGACACUUCACCCUGGAGUAUAGGGGUCCAACAAUAGGCAACAAGCACUUCUCUUGGGGCUGGAAGUCUAAAGCCAUAGAUGUGCAUUUUGCCCAGUGGCCUGGCAUCCUUGGAAAAUACCUGGGUCUUUUGAGGGAAAGGUGUGUUUCUCUGGUGUCUACUCCCAAGGACAAGGAUCUCAAGGCUCUGAGAAUCUGUCCUUAUUCAUUCCUAGACCUCCCCAGGGAGUAAGAAUGGAUUGCUGUAUAGCAGAAACCCACCACCAGGUGACAGUGUCUGUAGUUCAGGUGGCAUAGUUCAGGUGGCAGCUCUUGACUGGCACCUGUAAAGUUGGCAGAGGUGCCAGAGCCUCUCCUGCCAUUGUGUGACAUCAACUUACCUUUUGCUCUUAGGCCUUCUCUCUCAGCAGCUCCUCUCUCACCCCUGUAAGCCAGACAGCACAAACAUCAGCCAUGGUAAGUGCCAACUCUGGGUCAGGUUCUCCCUUCCUGAUUGACACAUAUCUUGAGUUGGAAUUAGGAUGCAGUGGAUGAAAGAAUAAAGAAGCAGGAAAUAUCCCUGGAAGUGGUCAAACAGUAAGUAUGCAUGGGUACCUUGAUGACUCAAAGAUCAUCAACAUUUAUAAUUCUGUCCAUCUGGAUAUCAGCCUGGAUGUCUGAUCUCUCAAAGCUGCUGGGCCACUUGGGCAGCUGCAGUCUUGGUUUCUGCCACACGAGGGUGCUGCUGACCAAUUAAAACUCCUGCCCCUUAGGCAGAGUUUGGGUGGCAGAGGCAGGCACCCUUUCCUCCAGACAGGGAUCAGAAACAAUCUGAGAGAAUCUGGGAGCCAGGCCCCAAGAAGUCAAAAGAAUAAUUAGUACCACUUGCUCUUCCUUAAAAAUGGCCUGAUACCCUGAACACUCCACCCUAGUGGCCUGACACCUCCAUAUGUUUCCAUCUGAAUUCAGGAAGCCCCCAGCGCUAGACACCACACAUCUUGCAUAGGUGCUUUUCUCCCUCAGGGUGUAGCAGGUUUCAGCUGCCCUUCCCUCCUACCCCCAUUGUCUCCCUGCCUCUUAAACAAUCACUUUCUAGUCUAGAGAGUAGGGGUUCCUGUGGGUUUCAGAGAAAAAAAUCUCACAGUCCUAAGAGAAGUAUCUUUGUUAGCGAUAGAGUGUUGGGAAGAGGAAAGUAAAGAAGCUCAGCUUUCUGUGCCCCUACCACCUCCGCCAGCAUAGACCUGCCAAACUCAAGAUGGUCCAAUGGAUGUUUGCAGCUUGCAUGGCAGGGGGACACCCAAAAAAAGGUGUCACGAAGCUGGAUAGGGAGGGGGGAUGCUUUGGCCCUUGAGCUUCAAACUGACCCCAUAUGGUGUACUGGUUCUGCCAAGGAUCCAAGUGGCCAUGGGGCCCUUAUGAGGGUGAGAUAUCCCACAAUUGAUCCUCAGUUUCCAUGAAGCCCUUCCAGGCUGAACAGACUAAGGGAGAUGGCAGAGGUUCUCCUCCUCCCUCCUACCCCCAUGCCCGAGGGCCCCUCCCCAGGAGGACAGCUUGAUUAAACAGUCGGUGCUGCUGGAAUUACUGCACAGCUGGCGCUCCCCCCAGCACCCCGAGCAGAGCAGCAGCGCAGAUUAAAAUCUCCAAUUAGCGUUAAAGUGAAGUGAGGAGGUACUGAGGCUGCCAAGGAGGCCAGGCGGGGGCCCUGGGUCUACAGACACCCCCACUGGUGCCUAGAUUCUGAGUACCACCUUCAGACACCCCUUCUUUUCUUGCUUCUCUCCCAACAGCUCUCAGUGGCCAUUAGCUUUGCAUUGCUUGGGGCCAGAGGGCUUUCUGAGGGGCAGAGGGUGAAGCAGAUGCCUUACCUGACAAAAUGCUGGGGACACCAUAAGUGUGGAGAAGAAUGAAUGAUCAGUGCUUGUCAGGGGAGACACCCUGCUCACAGCCUGCCAGGCGACCUGGUUGAGGGGACUUCACACUACUGCUGCUUCUUUUUGCCUAGAGAAAGGGCAAAUAGGACAAGUCCCUCUGGACCCUCUUACCUAUAAGGUGCUGGGUGUUGUGGUGCCCAUACAAACAUCCAUCCUUGUAUAUUUUAUCCCAUCUGACCCAUCUGCUCCCACCCAAAUUAUGGCUCUGUUCUUCCCUCCCUCUGUUAUUUUUCUCAGCUUUCCUAUGGGUAGGGGUAGGCACAGCCUAGCUUGGGAGCAUCGCCAUGCCCUGCCACCUGGGUCCCAGCCGGCUUCUCAUUACCUUCUUUGCAGUCUGGGAAGGAGCAGAGAUAUGCCAAGAAUGGAGGCCUUAGACUCUUGCAACCUCUGAACAUCACACCCUCUACCAUUUAUACUUUUACCUUUCACUCACCAAGCCCAGAAGGAGGGCAGCACAGCUAGCCACACCCUUUGACUUCCUUCUGCCCCUUUAAGGGAAAUGGAGGUUCAUACCCAGCUGACUGAACCUACUCACACCUCCAGAAAUUAGACACCAGGGCACAGUGCCACCCUCCCAGGCUGGCACAUGCUACUCUGGCAGAGGUUCAAAUAACACCCCCCUUCAUCCUCCCACCCCUAUGUCUUCCUCUUCUCUCUCCCUCUUUCUUCCUCUCUCUCUCUCUCUCUCUCUCUCUCUCUCUCUCUCUCUCUCUCUUUUUUUUCUCAGCUCAAAGCACAGCUGAGCCUUAAAAGGAGGGGGGGAGACCAAGCUGGGGCAGGGGGUGGAGAGCUCCAAUAGCACGUUUUCACCUGCCAUUUAAUUGGAUGUAUUUUUAAUUAAUGGGACCUUAGGGACCAACAUGAGACAAUCUGAUCUCUGAAUAGGGACAGGGGAGGGAUUGGGUUAGGGAGGAGGAUUGGGCCACUGGGUGCGGUUACUGGGAACCCAGGCCCAUCAAUCACUGGCCACUUUGCUCUCUGGCAUGGGGAAUAGUGAGGUAGAGGAGGAGGGGAGGUGCUGGGGAGAAUUGCCAGGAUUUCCCCCCAACUGCCAGGACCUCUAAAAAAGGAAGAACUGUACCAAUUGACUUGGGUUUGAGGCCCAAAAUUGCAGCCAGGAUAUUAGGUAAGGCAAUUUUCUUGCUCCUAGGAUUUUGUCCAGCUGGGCUUGUCCAGUGAGAUGUAAAACUGAAAUGAAAGUGGGACAGAGUUUUGAGGUCCUUGAAGAGAGGGAGCAAGAGCUAGGGACCAUAGAACCUGAGACGGUGUAUGAGGAAAGAGGAAGGCAGAGUUUAAAGAUAUUUCUGAAUGUUUAGACGUAAGAGAAGUGCCCUGGAGCUUACUUACAUGCAAAGCAGCAUACAUGUGAGGACUGAUGAUUUUGGGAUGUGAAUCAUAGAACCUUACUGCUGUAAAGGAGAAAACUUGGAGUUCAUCUUACUGAAUCUUCACUUUACAGAUGUGGAAAUGGAAACCCAGAGAGGAAAAAUCAGUUGAGUCCUGUCCUGGAAUUGCUUUGUGUUCCUGGCUUUGGAGACUUCCUGGGAACCCAAGGAAAGGAUGGUAGGUAGGGAAGAACAAGGAUGAAGUGGAUAGAGCCGACCAGCAAUCUGCCCACAGACCUGGAACCUGCAAUCAGAAAGGAAGCCUUUGGGUGUCUAUGAGAGGAUGCAUGGCUAAGGUCCUCCAUGGAAGCUGAAUGUGUCUCUGAUAAGGUCUGAGGAAACAGGCCAUGAUAAGUGAACUCUAUUCUGGAGGGAUGGAAGGUUCCAUGAGGACAUUGACCACGUCUGUUGAUACUCACCAAUGGGCUCCAGUGCCCAGCACAGUGCCUCACAUAAAACAGCUAUUUGGUAAAUAUUUCUUGAAUGAAUAAAUAAAUGAUGAAAGGACA